GUCUACCGCCAUGCCACCUUAAACAAGCCCGAUGUGUGAUCUCGGAAGCUAAGCAGGUUCAGGCCUGGUUAGUACAUAGAUGGGAGACCCCCUAGGAAGACCAGGUGCUGUAGGCA
rnacentral:rRNA from 1 species